AUGGGAAUGAUGUUGAGGAAGAAUAUGAGCAAGAGGAAGGUGUUUAUAUGGGAGAAUAUUGACGCUUUCACCUAAAGUAGAAGACAGUACACAAAAACACAAACUUUUUCGUACUCGAUGCGCAGUGAAUGGAAAUAUUUUUGACUUGAUCAUUGAUGGUAGAAGUUAGGAGAAUAUCAUGAGUCUAAGAGCUAUCCAAAAACUAU
rnacentral:misc_RNA from 1 species